ACAUCCUAACUGAAAAGUCACUGGCUUGAGCGUGUCACUUGUUUGUAUCACUCGGACUUACAUCAACAACUAUUUCUAGAUCAGAUGGAAGAGCCAAUUUUAAUGAUCUGUGUUCAAUCGCUGAAAAAAAAAAAAAAAAGAAACCUUCAUGCAUGUCCAGGUGUGUGAGGCCCAGGUGAGGGAGAGUGCUGAGAGAAGUGAAGAGCUCCGGAGCAGAUGACAGUGGAACGCGAGGAAAGCAGCAAACUGCCACUCCGCAGCUAAAACACUACUCUGCCCACCUCUCACCUGCCACAGUGACAAGUGUUGCCACUCAGCAGCUGCAACUUGCAGAUAUGAAGUGAGCUAAGAUGCCUGCUGAAAACUUCAAAAUUAGAGCAUCUGAAAACUCCCCAGGGGGUUCCAUUUAAGUUUCUUCAUUUCACCAGAGCAUGGAGGUAGUGAAGGUAAAUUAACCAAGACUCCAAUCUCCGGCAGACUGAGAAGUUCAUUAAGUGCUUAGAAAAAACUCACCUGACAGCCUUAAGCAACUCUUAGCAGGAACUGGUGCACAAACCAAGAAGCAACUCCAAGGGAGUGACCAACUUCCAACAGGGACAGCCCAGCACAACUAUGUCAAUGGGCUGCCUUGUCUAUCUCAACAAAGACAGGCAAAGCCUGUCAUGUCUACAUAAAGUUAACACUUGACUUUGAACCAAGAAGUUGCAAAUUUAAGGCAAGCUGGCGAUCUUCAGAAAGGACUCCAGUACUAGCGGACGAUUCUGACCCACGACAAAGCCAUCUCCCGGACUCCCAACAACGACUCCCAGGAGCACGACCUUGUAUAUCAAGUGUCUCCUAACGUAUUAUCUCAUUUAGAGUAACUUGCCCAGUCGUGCCUCUAGCUAAGUAUCCAAACCAAGACCCAGCCCUGUCCCCUCGACCCGUCUAAAGAUGAUUUAAAUGUCCCCGGCUUAUCUGCCUUCCCUACCCUCCCUACACACACCAGAGAAUGUCUGAGAGAUACAGUUUCACAAGAAUCUUGGCACCUUGACUAUUUAUUGUUGAAAGAUGACGAAUAUGACUCCAAGCAAAAACAAAAGUUUCUCAACCGUCCAAACCCCAAGAGAAAAAAAUAAAAAACUAACAGGCA